rnacentral:lncRNA from 1 species
AGUUUCCAAAGGCUAAAUUAUAAAGACAAGUAGUACUAUAUAUAUAGCAAAGACCUCAGAACACCAUAACAGGAACUAGACCUCAAAAGAAGGAGUUGAUAAGCUGCAAAUGCCAAGGCCACUACUUUAGUUCCACUUCUAUUCAGUCUCGUGCACAGUACCUGAAAAAGUAGGGGUGAGCAUCACUCACGUUCAUAUGCUCAGUAGGAAGUAACGCUAGCUAGGUUUGAAAACUAUGGGAGUUUAGUUUUAAUAAAACUAAAAACCAUCAGAAGCAUCAAUAGAGAUUUGUUAUGAGAAAUUUCAGUGAAACACAUGCUCAGGGUACCCAUUUUCUAAAUACUGAUGACCGGUCUUAAUGCCAACUACUUGCUAAAAUAAACAUUGCUGAAAUAAUUAAUUAAACCACAAGCAAGAAGUAGCAAGAGUGGCCGUUUACGCCAUACCAUGUAGGAGUGACGCCACACCUCAAAGGAUGUUAGACGUCCUCCGGUCCAUAUAGCCCCUCCGCAGGUUUAGGGGAUCGAAACCCAAGGUAGUCAUUUUGCUCCCUUUACUCUCAAGUCAUCACAUAAAAUUUCAAUGCAAUAUGAUGCGUAAAAAUAUGAAAAGCAUUUUUCAAAAAUUACUAACUAGUGAAGACCCCCUACCUGGAAUCUCUUUUGUAUAACUCCCAGCAAGUACCUCUUGACCACUCACUUCACUUACUCCACUUGAGCCUUCAAUCCUAUAUGAAAAGUAGCAAUUUACUAUCAGUCCUAGCCUAACUUUUCUCUUAAAACUGAGCAGUGAGUAGAGCUACCAUGUGUGGGCUUAUUCCAAAAAGAAAACAUUGAUAAGAACACACAAAGAUAAUACUUGUUAAGAACGUAACCUAUCUUGCCUCUCUAGAACUUAAAGUUGAGUUGAAAGCAUAAAAUUUAUACUUAAAUAAACUUGUUAAAGAUCAGUGAUAGAAAGAAGAGAGUAAAGGAUCCCAAAUCCAUUGUUUUGUAACGAUAGGUUGCAAAUCUGAAAAAACUUUUCAGGAACAGGCAGUAAGAAAGAAAAAUUCACCAACAAUUGAUCGUUCAAUAUUUUCAAGUGAAAAUCUCUAGAAUUAAAGUAGACAAGCAAAGCUAAAAUUUGGCAAAAUUUCAAGUUAAACGUAGUCCAAAUGCAUAGUCAAACAAAGAUCCAAAGUGACUGAAAAUACAGUUUCUGCAUAAAUCCUGCAGCACUGUGCAAACUUUGAAAUAGCACAAGUUUCUCAUAUCAACUCCGUUUUGUAUGAAACCAAGUCUAAAAUGAUCAUUGAAGAGUCUAUUUUUAACUUUUAAGAACUGAGAUUAAAACAAGUAGGAUAGGUAUUUCGAAAAUCAUGGAAAAGCCCACUGGUUCAGCUGUGUCUGUGAGGCAUUUUAUCAAACAUGUGGUGUGCACUAUGUGAAACCCAAUCUAAUUCAGUUCUAGGUAUGUACGUGUAUAGAGUUACCAAACCUAUCAAAUAGUCAAAAGUGCAUCCCAACAACAACCUUAAACACAACUUGAUAGAAAACUUGAUAACUGGAAGAACAUAAUACCAAAAGGAAUUGAGUUCUGAUGUUAUGCAAAAUAAGGAGCAGCUCAGCAAUUUGAAGGUCCAAAAUCCUCUAAUUUCUUUGUCAAAGUAUGGUCAAUUUCCUAAAUGAAAAGGCAUUAGAUACCUGAGGAUUCAAGGCAUGG